rnacentral:rRNA from 1 species
UACAGAGGGGGCAAGCGUUGUUCGGAAUUACUGGGCCUAAAGGGCGCGUAGGCGGCCUUCUAAGUCGAACGUGAAAUCCCCGGGCUCAACCCGGGAACUGCGUCCGAUACUGGAAGGCUUGAAUCCGGGAGAGGGAUGUGGAAUUCCAGGUGUAGCGGUGAAAUGCGUAGAUAUCUGGAGGAACACCGGUGGCGAAGGCGGCAUCCUGGACCAAUUCUGACGCUGAGGAGCGAAAGCCAGGGGAGCAAACGGG